CUAUUAGCUGGGACGUAGUGACGUUUCCUGUGCACCAGGCAUCUUCCAACCACCCUCCUUGAUCCCGGGGACGGUUCGUCUUUGGUGUUCCCCACGCCAGCCCUCUAGGCUACAGCACCCUCGUCCCCCUGGCAGGGGAGGAAACAGGCGCGCGGGGGUGCAGGAGCGCACCCAGGUUCCCACGGCGGGGCAAUGGCAGCACCAUUCCUGUCCAAGCCGUUGAGCUCCAGGGACCCCUGUGCAGCCGUGAAGCCAGAGAGCCUCCUUUCUUGGCCGGAGAUGGGGAGGAGGAAGCGAGAGCAUGCACCUCCGUGAGCAUUGGAGAACUUUGUGGCUGGGUUAUGGAGCAGGAGAGAGACUUACUCUGGGUGUCCUUUCUACUCUUUGCAUUUUGAACCAGUGAGUCCAUUAACUAUUAAAAAAAAAAAAAAGAACAAACAGGGGCACCUGGGUGGCUCAGUUGGUUGAGCGUCAGCCUUCAGCUCAGGUCACGAUCCUGGAGUUCUAGGAUUGAGGCCUGCGUUGGGCUCCCUGCUUGGCGGGGAGUCUCCCUCUCCCUCUUCCCCUCACCCCGCUCAUGCUCUCUCUCUCUCAAAUAAAUAAAUAAAAUCUUAAAAAAAAAAAAAG
rnacentral:lncRNA from 12 species